rnacentral:rRNA from 1 species
GUCGAGCGGUACAGAAAGUAGCUUGCUACUUUGCUGACGAGCGGCGGGCACGGUGUGAGUAAUGCUUGGGAACAUGCCUUGAGGUGGGGGACAACAGUUGGAAACGACUGCUAAUACCGCAUAAUGUCUACGGACCAAAGGGGGCUUCGGCUCUCGCCUUUAGAUUGGCCCAAGUGGGAUUAGCUAGUUGGUGAGGUAAUGGCUCACCAAGGCAACGAUCCCUAGCUGGUUUGAGAGGAUGAUCAGCCACACUGGAACUGAGACACGGUCCAGACUCCUACGGGAGGCAGCAGUGGGGAAUAUUGCACAAUGGGCGAAAGCCUGAUGCAGCCAUGCCGCGUGUGUGAAGAAGGCCUUCGGGUUGUAAAGCACUUUCAGUCAGGAGGAAAGGGUGUGAGUUAAUACCUCAUAUCUGUGACGUUACUGACAGAAGAAGCACCGGCUAACUCCGUGCCAGCAGCCGCGGUAAUACGGAGGGUGCGAGCGUUAAUCGGAAUUACUGGGCGUAAAGCGUACGCAGGCGGUUUGUUAAGCGAGAUGUGAAAGCCCCGGGCUCAACCUGGGAACUGCAUUUCGAACUGGCAAACUAGAGUGUGAUAGAGGGUGGUAGAAUUUCAGGUGUAGCGGUGAAAUGCGUAGAGAUCUGAAGGAAUACCGAUGGCGAAGGCAGCCACCUGGGUCAACACUGACGCUCAUGUACGAAAGCGUGGGGAGCAAACGGGAUUAGAUACCCCGGUAGUCCACGCCGUAAACGAUGUCUACUAGAAGCUCGGAACCUCGGUUCUGUUUUUCAAAGCUAACGCAUUAAGUAGACCGCCUGGGGAGUACGGCCGCAAGGUUAAAACUCAAAUGAAUUGACGGGGGCCCGCACAAGCGGUGGAACAUGUGGUUUAAUUCGAUGCAACGCGAAGAACCUUACCUACACUUGACAUACAGAGAACUUUCUAGAGAUAGAUUGGUGCCUUCGGGAACUCUGAUACAGGUGCUGCAUGGCUGUCGUCAGCUCGUGUUGUGAGAUGUUGGGUUAAGUCCCGCAACGAGCGCAACCUCUAUCCUUAGUUGCUAGCAGGUAAUGCUGAGAACU